CUUCAUAUGACACUCCUAAUUAGGCUCAAAAAGCAUUGAGAAAGGAGGGCAGUGAAGAGAUAUUUUUAUCAGUUACUGCAUUUUGAAAGAGCACUUGGAAUAAAACAAAAGGGAAAGAACCAGUGGAUAGAAGAUUCCUGAGAGGAGAACAAGGGAAGGAAUAGCAGAAGAGUGGUAUUUACUUGAGUGUGCACUUGUGCUUAUCUAAAAACACUUGCUAUCGAUGAUGAAAGAACAGAAUUUAUUUGGAGUAAGAUGUGGCAGUAUGGACUGAGUCUCUGGAAAAGUUGCAGCACCAGAUUUGGUUUGAGAAUGUACUGCAUUCCCAUCCACCAGGCUACAGCGACUGGAACUCCACCACAUAACUUCUCUUUUUUAAGGAGGGAAACAAGAAAGCACCUUAUGUCCAGCCUGAGAAGGCACUUGUUAAGACUGCUAUUGAUAGGAGAGACAGUUUCAUCCUUACAAGAAAGACUCAAGAGCAUCUUCACUGUAACCACAGAGACUUGAUCACAGGCUUUACUCUUCAUCCAUGAUUGGAAUCAGCCUGGCCCAGUAAAGUCAAAAGUGAGGCUGUGAUCUGGCCAGUGUAUAUUUAAAAGAAUUGUGAGAGAAAACGAAAGCCAUUGACUAAGGAGGAGGGAGUGAUUGAACUCUUUCAGUUCACUAUUUUCUCACUUUACCACUAGCAUUGAUGUAUGCAGAGAGAAACAGUAACAGCCUGGCAAUGCUGACUUCCUAAUCAUACUGUAUAGACAGAAAACAGGGAGUAAAUUAAUCUAUUAGA